rnacentral:lncRNA from 1 species
UACUCGGGAGGCUGAGGCAGGAGAAUGACGUGAACCCAGGAGGCCAAGCUUGCAGUGAGCUGAGAUCACACCACUGCACUCCAGCCUGGGGGACAGAGUGAGAAUCCAUCAAAAAAAAGAAACAAGAAUACAAUAGCACAAUUCAUGUGACAACCACAUGUAGGUUUAGUGAUGUUUGUUCUCUGUGAAGCUAAGCUAUCUCAGCUAGGUGGUUGAGGACAUUUGUACUGUCUGGACUAGGCAGAGGUGAAUAUGAUUGAAUGUGUAAGACAGUGCCAAUUAUGUACCAUAUAUAGCUGUGUGUGUUUCCUUCUGUCUAAAAUAUCAACCUAUGCUUGCCUUUAAUCUCAUCCUCAAUUGCAAUGCUCAAAACCCCUCCUAGUGUCAUUAUAUUGUCAAAAAAUACUCUGAAUCACAGGUUUAGAGAGAUAAAAAUUCUAACUUCUCUUAAAGAAACAACGUCUGAAAAUCUUUUCAUUUGUGUUGUUCCACAUGAAAUGACUUUAAGUGUUGAAUGUGCACAUUAUUCCUACAUUCUGAGACUUAGAUUUAUAGCUUAUGAGUUGUCCUUCUAAAGGUAUACUCUUCAUAUGCCAGUGACUCCCCAGCUUAUACAGCAGUUAUGCCUUAUUGGUGAGGGAUGCGUUCAAAGACUCCUUGUGGAUGCCUGAAACCUGUUACCAAACCCCAUAUAUCUCUAGUGCACAUCUAAAUCUGUGUUUAGACGAACAGAACCAGCUUUGUACCCGAUUAUCUUCACCAAGAUGUCUGACUUACGUAAAUCUCAAACUUGUCGUAUUUAACACAAAGUUCUUAAUUUCCUUCCUUUUUCAAGCCCACUUCUGCUGUGUUUUCUGUUUAAGUAAAUAACACUCAUCCAUUUAGUUAUGUCAAAAACCUAGGAAUUAUCCAUGACUUCUCUCUUACUCUUUCUGCACUUUAAAUGCAUCAGCUAGUACUGUCUUCAAGAAUGUAUCCUUUUUACCCAGUCCUCGCCAUCUCCUUUACUAUCCCCCUUGCCCAAGCCACUAUACUUUCAUCCUGCUGUGGAAGCAGUUUUCCAACCCUCCUUACUCUCCUUUUGACCACUUAAUAUACAUUCUUCACUAGCCAGAACAAUCUUUGAAAAAUGUAACCUACCAUAUGUCACUCCCCAUUUGAAAUGUUCCUAUUGGGAUUUUAAGAUGAUAUUAAAUACUCAUUUUCUCAGCUCUCAAGUCUGGAUUCAAUUGAGAGGCAGACAGAUUUGGGCAAAUGAGAUAAAAUAUUUGUUUUGUAUUGAUAAAUGGUUGGAUUGGCAGAUAUUGCCUUGUAUUGAGUAUGGUCGUAAAGACAUCACUAAUAUUUAACUUAUCUACCUAUUUAUUUUCCCUCACUUUGAAGUGUGGUUAGAAUUUGGAGGAAGCAAUUUCAUGAAGGUAGAAAUAAGAUUGCCCUCAUAAAAUAUGUUAUGUCCUCAUAAAAUAAAUAUUUAUAUAUUAUAUAUAAAAUAUAUAAAUUUAUUAUCUGAUCCUUCCCAAGAGAGAUUCCGCACCUCUGGUUGCCCUUAGGCUUAAUCAUUAAGCCAGAACCAUAAAGAGAACAAAAAACAUUACCUGUGCCCAACGUUUUAUGGCCUUUGUCACUCCUCAAGUAGUCUCUCCAAAGGAGGAAUGUCUGACGUGGUAAGUAAGUUUGAGAGGAAACUGGAUUUUGUUGGAUCCACCCCUUCUGAAGUCUCUUGUUGUCUUCCUCCCUCAAGAGAUGUCUGCCCUAUUUUCCACUUGUUUGGAAACUAUCUCCCCUGUCUGGUGUCCUUGCAGCUGUGCAUCUGUCAGUCUGUGCUGACUUCACAACUUUCUACAAAUGAGCUUUCCUAGUAACUCAGGACCUACCUGUCAGGCCUCUGAGCCCAAGCCAAGCCAUCGCAUCCCCUGUGACUUGCACGUAUACGCCCAGAUGGCCUGAAGUAACUGAAGAAUCACAAAAGAAGUGAAAAGGCCCUGCCCCGCCUUAACUGAUGACAUUCCACCAUUGUGAUUUGUUCCUGCCCCAUCUUAACUGAGUGAUUAACCCUGUGAAUUUCCUUCUCCUGGCUCAGAAGCUCCCCCACUGAGCACCUUGUGACCCCCCGCCCCUGCCCACCAGAGAACAACUCCCUUUGACUGUAAUUUUCCAUUACCUUCCUAAAUCCUAUAAAAUGGCCCCACCC